UACAGAGGGUGCAAGCGUUGUUCGGAAUUAUUGGGCGUAAAGCGCGUGUAGGCGGCUUUGCAAGUCGGGUGUGAAAGCCCUCAGCUCAACUGAGGGAAGUGCCGCCCGAAACUGCAGAGCUUGAGUGCCGGAGAGGGUGGCGGAAUUCCCCAAGUAGAGGUGAAAGUUCGUAGAUAUGGGGAGGAACACCGGUGGCGAAGGCGGC
rnacentral:rRNA from 1 species